rnacentral:rRNA from 1 species
GAUGAACGCUGGCGGCGUGCCUAAUACAUGCAAGUCGAGCGAACAGACGAGGAGCUUGCUCCUCUGACGUUAGCGGCGGACGGGAGAGUAACACGUGGAUAACCUACCUAUAAGACUGGGAUAACUUCGGGAAACCGGAGCUAAUACCGGAUAAUAUAUUGAACCGCAUGGUUCAAUAGUGAAAGACGGUUUUGCUGUCACUUAUAGAUGGAUCCGCGCCGCAUUAGCUAGUUGGUAAGGUAACGGCUUACCAAGGCAACGAUGCGUAGCCGACCUGAGAGGGUGAUCGGCCACACUGGAACUGAGACACGGUCCAGACUCCUAGGGGAGGCAGCAGUAGGGAAUCUUCCGCGAUGGGCGAAAGCCUGACGGAGCAACGCCGCGUGAGUGAUGAAGGUCUUCGGAUCGUAAAACUCUGUUAGUAGGGAAGAACAAAUGUGUAAGUAACUAUGCACGUCUUGACGGUACCUAAUCAGAAAGCCACGGCUAACUACGUG